AAAGAAAGCGUAAUAGCUCACUGGUCGAGUCGGCCUGCGCGGAAGAUGUAACGGGGCUAAACCAUGCACCGAAGCUGCGGCAGCGACACUCAGGUGUUGUUGGGUAGGGGAGCGUUCUGUAAGCCUGCGAAGGUGGCCUGUGAGGGUUGCUGGAGGUAUCAGAAGUGCGAAUGCUGACAUAAGUAACGAUAAAGCGGGUGAAAAGCCCGCUCGCCGGAAG
rnacentral:rRNA from 1 species